UACGGAGGGUGCGAGCGUUGUCCGGAAUCACUGGGCGUAAAGGGCGCGUAGGCGGUGCGAGAAGCGUGUGGUGAAAGGCCGGGGCUCAACCCCGGCUCGGCCGUGCGGACUCUCGCGCUUGGUGAGUGCUGUAGAGGCGGGCGGAAUUCCGGGUGUAGCGGUGGAAUGCGUAGAGAUCCGGAAGAACACCGGUGGCGAAGGCGGCCCGCUGGGCAGUGACUGACGCUGAGGCGCGACAGCGUGGGGAGCAAACGGG
rnacentral:rRNA from 1 species